UCAAACCCAACAACGCGGACUGUUCAUCUCUCCAAAAAGCACCCGAAUCCACUCCCAAAAUUGCAAAAAAUGUGGCGAGUGAGCUCCAGUAUCACCUCACGCGUUCCCCCUCUCUCCUCAUCACCAUUUUUAACGGUUUCUGACGACAAAAGAGUCCCCUCUCCUCUCACUCGCUCGAUUUUGGAUAUAUCUCACGAUUGGAAGGUUCUGAGAAUGAUUUGCUGGAUGAGCGUGAGGCGUUGGAUUGAUUUCACUCAAUCCGAGCCCCACAUUCAUCAGGGGUUCGUUUUCAAUAGGACCGGAUUCGAUUUCGAAGGAGGAGCAGAAAAAAUAAUUUUCGGAGUCUGAGAGAUUUGGAAAGAAGGUUUGAGAAAGCAUUUAGUUUUGAUUGAGUUCUCUUGGGGUUUUCAGUUUCAAUUCUGGAAAAGGGUUUAGAAAUUUCAGUUUCUUUCGUUUUGGUUCUUGGUUCUGUUUCAAAAAUCUGAAAAAAAGGUUUUCAUUAUCUUUCUUUGAUUCCUUUAAAAAAUGGAGAUGGACUGAGUUGAGAUCGAGUUGAAUGUUCGUGUUCAAGUUCGUGGUUCUUGCAUCCUAACGCAUUAUAGAUGCUAUUAUUUUGAAUUUUCAUUAUCAAGUUCACUUGUAUUGGGUUCGAGGCAGAAUUAAUCUAAGUUUUCCUUUGCAACUCAGGUUCAUUUCUUAUCCUCUUCUCUAUCGCUCUUGGUUCUAUGUUUGUACGUGUGCGUAUUCCAUCAUAGUAUAGUUUGAACCUCGAAACUCAAUGUCUGUUUCUUUUACUCUAGUUUUAACUCGUUUGGCCUUGGUUCAGGUCCAUUUAUGCUUUUUUUUGGGGUUGAAAACACUCCCAAGUCAUAAUAGAGCUGGAAUUUCUGAGUUUGUAUCUCGUUGUUGCUGUCAUGUAGGCUUUGUUGGAUUGAAUCUGCCAGAUAGCAGAUUCGUGUUAGUGUAGUUCUAUUCUCUACUUUUGGAAUCCGAGUCGUGAAUUUACGGGGCAAUUGUUGGCUGUUUGUCUUGUGUUAAAAAACUGAGAAUGAACGUAAACAUUAGCUAUCCAGCGUCAAGCCCAUGUGUUUGCUAUUUUCUGCUGGUUUGAAGUUGCUGAGGUUACCCUUGUUAAUAUUUGUUCUUUGUGGCUCACUAUGUUUGAGAGGGUUAAGCGAGUGUUCAUGUUUCCGGCAUGUCAAUUGUAUCACUGAUCUUCUUAGGCUGAUUUUAAUUUAAAACUUGGGUAGUCAUGGUUUGUUUACUUCAAAGUCAGUUUGCAGUUGCUAAUCGAGCUGAUACCUGCAGUAGUUUGGAAAUUGUUUGAACUACUAAGCAUGCUGAAAACCUGCCCUGUUUCUGCACUAUUUAGGAAGCAAAUCUGCACAGCUUUGAGUGCAAAAUUCUGCACUGGUUGCCUGCAGCAGUCAUGAUUUACUAGUAGUUCAUGUGUAUAUGAGUUCUGCUUGGUUUUGCG
rnacentral:lncRNA from 1 species